UUCCGAAAAAAAAAACAGGAACACAUGCAGCUAUUAUUAGAAUCUGAAGAACUCCCCCUUUAAACAUUGACAGUUCAACGCAACGAAGAGUACUUGGCAGUUGCAUAAAAUGAAUAUUCAUUAUAAGAAAAUACUCAGUAUCCGAACUGCUGUGCUGAGAAUAGUGUGCCUACAAUAUUGUGCGAGUCUGGAGCAAAGGUAGAAUUUGGAAGCCAAAUUUACUUUGGCGAUUGUGAACACGUCUUCUAAAGGAUUUUUGAAUGCCAACCUACCAUUUAAUGUUAUUAGCUGAGGAGUAAUUGAUAACAAUUUGUUACAUUUAAGAUUUGAAUAUUUGUGCCCAUUCGUAAUCUGGGAAGAUUUAAUUUUGUCAACAAACUAAAAUGACGAUCAACAUUGGAUGCAUAUGUGAUAGAGAUGGUACUACAAAUCACAUUCUUAUUCUUAAUCUACUUUAUACCGAAUAUUUAUUGAGAUUUAUAAGAUAAUCAUAAAUAAAAUAAGCAAAUGCUUUGGGGGGGGUCCUUAUGAAACCCCUAUCAUUUUUGUGAACCAAUUUAAAAUCAAUUAAUAAAUAAUAACAAUCUUCUUAUAUAUAAAAAUCA